UACGUAGGGUGCAAGCGUUGUCCGGAAUUAUUGGGCGUAAAGAGUUCGUAGGCGGUUUGUCGCGUCUGCCGUGAAAGUCCGGGGGCUCAACUCCGGAUCUGCGGUGGGUACGGGCAGACUAGAGUGAUGUAGGGGAGACUGGAAUUCCUGGUGUAGCGGUGAAAUGCGCAGAUAUCAGGAGGAACACCGAUGGCGAAGGCAGGUCUCUGGGCAUUAACUGACGCUGAGGAGCGAAAGCAUGGGGAGCGAACAGG
rnacentral:rRNA from 1 species